UUCAAGCUGAUGAUCUCUGGGAUGCGGCAUGCCGGGAUAUCUUCCCUGUGAAAAAGCACUUGCUUGUACUUUUAAAGCUCGUGCACGAGCCUGUGCUAUGUGCGCGCGGGCAAAGCGUGGAUUUAUAUUGAAUUGUAAAACACCGCACUUGCGCGGAUGCAGCAUAGGAGUCUGUCUGCUCGUUGGUUUCAGGUGUCUGGCCAUCAACUUCCAUUCGCCCCGCGCCCGAUGCUGCAAGAGUCAUCUCCCCCACUGACUGGAUACAUGAAGACUUUCCCGUGAACGACAUCUCCCCCGCUAUAACGGGCCGGAAGAUAAUUACUGCGUUGACGUGUUGAUAUACAUAUAUUUAAAAUAUCAAAUAUGAAUCAUGCAUUUGAUAUUUCUAGCAAAUUUGCUCGUGAGCAUCCUUGCAGCCGGACUCCAUUCAUCCAUAGCAUCAAUCGGAGGAGAGAAUGAGGUGGUGGAGAGAGACGCAGAACCAUUAUUGUCGGAGCGAGAGGCAACUGCAGCAGCGGCCACAGACAACACAAGUCACAGUGCGGCUGAGCAUGUGAUCACUUACCCCUCUCGGCUCAUCUAUUACCUGAAGGAGGACUCAGAGAGCACUUAUCAUGACCUGGACACCCGGGCUAGAAACCAGGGCACAGAGGGUCAUGACCAGGCAGUCCAUCUUGCCCAAGCCAGUUUCCAGUUAGAUGCCUUUGGCUCCAAAUUUGUACUGGACCUAACGUUAAACAAUGACUUGUUGUCGGCGGAUUAUGUGGAGAUCCACUAUGAGGAGGGUAAACCUGUUCUAUCGAAGGGUGGUGAACACUGUUACUACCACGGCCAGGUGAGGGGGAAAGAUGAUUCCCACGUGGCCUUGUCUACCUGCAAUGGGCUGCACGGAAUGUUUGACGAUGGACUCUAUCUCUAUAUAAUGGAGCCUUUGCAACAGACUCACUCAAUUGAUACAGCCGCACGGCCCCACUCACUGCGCAGGAUGCCCAGCCUCCAGUGGAACAGUGACUCCGAGGAACUGGUGAAGGACGAGCGGCUGCUUUCGGAGCUGGACGACAUGUCCUGGCUGAAGCGCAGGAAAAAGCGGGCUAUGCCUAGGAAUGUAUUUGAGGAGAUGAAGUAUUUGGAGAUUAUGAUCGUCAGUGACCAUAAUAUGUAUAAGCGACUCAAGACCAAGCAGCACACCAGGAACUCUGCCAAGUCAGUGGUGAACCUUGUUGAUGCUAUCUUUAAGGAGCACCUGCACACACGGGUGGUUCUGGUUGCCGUGGAGAUCUGGUCGGACAAGGACCCGAUUCCCAUCAGUGUGAAGCCUCUGGACAUGCUGAAAGAUUUCUCUAAGUACCGGGCGCAGAGCAUCAAGCAACACGCUGACGCUGUGCACCUCUUCUCCAAUGUGACCUUCCACUAUCGCCGAAGCAGUGUAGCGUACUUCGGGGGCAUGUGCUCUGUGAGCCGUGGAGUAGGGGUCAACGAGUAUGGCACCACAUGGACUAUGGCUUCGUCACUCUCCCAGAGCUUGGCACAGAACCUCGGCAUCCAGUGGGAUCCAGCCGCAAAGAGAAAGGAAUGCGGCUGCUCUGACUCCUGGGUGGGCUGCAUUAUGGAGGAUACCGGGGUCCAGCAUCCCCGGAAGUUCUCCAAGUGCAGCAUCUCAGACUACAAGGAGUUCCUGCUGAAGGGCGGUGGAUCAUGUCUCUAUAACAGGCCGACCAAGCUGUUUGAAUCUACAGAGUGUGGGAAUGGAUACAUUGAGGUGGGAGAGGAGUGUGACUGCGGAGAUAGAACAGAGUGCUACAAGGACUGCUGUAAGAAGUGUUCCCUAGCUAAUGGUGCACAUUGCGCUGACGGACCUUGCUGCAACAACACUUGUCUGUUCUACCCACGUGGUUACAGUUGUCGCUAUGCGGUGAAUGACUGUGACAUCUCAGAGACAUGCUCAGGAGACUCUGGCCAGUGCCCUCCCAACCUCCACAAACAAGAUGGCUACCAAUGUCAAGUCGACCAGGGGCGCUGCUACAGCGGAGAGUGUAAGACCAGAGGAAACCAGUGCAAAUAUCUCUGGGGCCCAAAGGCGGGCGGGUCUGAGAAGUUCUGCUACGAGAAGCUAAACACAGAAGGAACCGAGAAGGGUAACUGUGGAAAGGAUGGAGAUAAGUGGCUCCAGUGCAGCAAGCAUGAUGUGUUCUGUGGGUUCCUGCUGUGCAGUAACAUCGGACACAACCCCCGCAUCGGCAUGAUGAAGGGAGACAUCACUCGUACCACCUUCAACCAUCAGGGCAGGCCGGUGAACUGCAGUGGUGGCCAUGUUCUUUUGGACGAUGAGACGGACUUAGGCUACGUGGAGGACGGAGCGCCCUGCGGGCCGUCCAUGAUGUGCCUUGACCACAAGUGUCUGCCCAUCCAGUCCCUCAACAUGAGCACCUGCCCCAGCGGGCCCAACGGCCAGGUGUGCUCAUCCCAUGGGGUGUGUAACAACGAGGCGUCGUGCACCUGUGACACCACCUGGGCGGGGACUGACUGCAGCAUGCCCGACCCUCCCAAGGAGCCUGCACCCACAGAAGACGAAGAACCAAAAGGUCCUAGUGCCACCAAUCUUAUAAUAGGCUCCAUCGCCGGCGCCAUCCUGGUGGCUGCCAUAGUGCUGGGGGGGACCGGAUGGGGCUUUAAGGUUCGAGGGUGAGAGUUUUAAGCGGAAGUGGUGAGAGAGAAGCCAGGGCCAUAUUGUUGGCCGCAGCCUUUGUGUCAUGGCUGGCCACACCCACCUGGAUGGCCAGGCUCCGCCCUAGAGCAGAGCAGGACUCCCGGACCCGCCCACAACAGCUGCCAUUGCUGCCUGCUUCACAGACCUGAAAUGUGAAGAAGCGAAAGUACGACCCCAACGCCAGCGCCAUAUAAGGUUGGAGGAGAGGUCAGCGGGCACAGAGGAAACCUUCUGGGCUUCCUUAGUACUCUACAGCUGGACUGCACUUAACUGCGGAGGAUUUUUUGGGCAUUAGAUUUACUUGAAAAAUACAUAGAGGACAAUUUAACAUUAUCCAUUUUAGUCAUGUAGAGAUGUAGCCUUUUUCAACCCUAACAACCCACCUAACAACCCCAACCACCUACCUAACAACCCACCUAACAACCUCACCCACCUACCUAACAACCCAGCUAACAACCCCACCAACCUACCUAACAAUCCACCUAACAGUCCCACCCACCUACUGAACAACCCACCUAGCAACCUCACCCACCCACCUAACAACCCGACUCACCUAACAACCACACCCACCCACCUAACAACCCCACUCACCUAACAACCACACCCACCCACCUAACAACCCCGCUCACCUAACAACCACACCCACCUACCUAACAACCCCACUCACCUACCUAAAACCCCACUCACCUACCUAACAACCCCACCCACCUACCUAACAACCCCACUCACCUACCUAACAACCCCACUCAUCUACCUAACAACCCCACUCACCUACCCAACAACCCCACUCAUCUACCUAACAACCCCACCCACCUACCUAACAACCCCACCCACAUACCUAACAACCCCACCCACCUACCUAACAACCCCACCCACAUACCUAACAACCCCACUCACCUACCUAACAACCCCACUCAUCUACCUAACAACCCCACCCACCUACCUAACAACCCCACCCACAUACCUAACAACCCCACUCACCUACCUAACAACCCCACUCAUCUACCUAACAACCCCACUCACCUACCUAACAACCCCACUCAUCUACCUAACAACCCCACUCACCUAACUAACAACUCCACUCACCUAACUAACAACCCCGCUCACCUAACAACCACACCCACCUAAUAACCCCACCCACCUCCCUAACAACCCCACUCACCUAACAACCACACCCACCCACCUAACAACCCCACCCACCUACCUAACAACCCCACUCACCUAACAACCACACCAAUGGCGGACUGGCCGUCAGGAGCCCCGGGACAUUCCCGGUGGCCUGAGGGUCGUUUGGGACUGCCGUGAAUAGUCAACUUGACCAGCGAUAAUAUAGCAAGCAGGAAUUAGUUGACGGAGAAUCCACGAAUCAGGCGCGACUCUCACACUCUUGCUGCAGUGUCCCAGUGCCAAAAAUGACCUCAGGUCUCUCCACGACGCACAUAGCAACCGUCUACCUGCUUCUCUACCGAUAACAUUUUAGACAAGUCGUCCGGCGAAAUGGUCAGAAAGGGAAAAGUGGAGCAGAGAGGGAGAGAAUAAAAAACAGAAAGGCCCUUGCCACAGUCAAAAACACUAGCUAAAACACACACACACUGACACACACACGUCACCCAGCAUGGCUAGCUAAGUAGCCUAGCUAAAAAUAGUGACACAAUGGCAGGUAGGCUAAACAGUUUGCACGUCUUACGUCUUCGUGGAGGAAUUAUAUCACAGCAAUGAGUGCAACAUAGCGAUCAUAAUAUGACAUUGAAGGCAAUAUGUUUCAACUAGUAAAACAUAAUAAACCUAGAUUAUGGACUUGCCAGGAUUCGGUCAUGACUCAUGGCCACAUAAGCGAGGGAAAGUGCACAUCCACUGUACAGUGAAACAGGCUACAGUAACCUAACCAUAAUGCAUCCAUGAACAUAACACAGUGGCCUGUGUGACACAGCACAAAAGAUCAUUAGCGCCAUUAGUACCAGCAUUACAAUUUACUACGAUAAUAUACAGCUCUGGGGGAAAAUUAAGAGACCACUCCAAAUUAAGAGACCACUCCAAAUUAAGAGACCACUCCAAAUUAAGAGACCACUCCAAAUUAAGAGACCAUUCUUAAUUUUUCCUAGAGCUGUAUUAAUGUAGCCUACUGAUACACUAAUGAUAGUGAGUAUGAUAAUAGAGUAUUUUCUUUGUAAAGGUGGAGGAAGGAAGCAGCAGCACUAGAGUUUCAGGUGCUCCUGCUGAACUGGAGGAACUGGAGGAACUAGUGGUCAGUUCAGAGUCAGACUCAGAGCAGGAACCUUCAGCUACAACUUAAGAGCACAACCCUAAACAUGUAGGUUAUGAUUUUAGAUUAAUAUGUGCUUUAUUUAUGAGAUUAUCAGUAGGACUGUAAUCGGGGGCCAUACCUUGUACAUUUGUAUGUGCUAUGAUUGGUGUAUUCCUAGAGCGUUUAUGAGGGUGCACCCAUAGCCAUAGCAUACCUUGAGAACUCAGUGUUCAGAUAGGCUACUUGUUGGUCAGUCCCAAAUGUUUGCAUUUUGUAAUGUGGGUAACUUUCUUCCCAGAUUAACAUAGUGGCCUAAUUUGGUACCCGUUACAUCAACAAAUAGGGUUAGCCUACAAAAUUAGCGGUCUGGUGGUUUGUGUGAACAGGGGGGCCUGGGAUGGAGUCAAAUUCUCCGCCUGAAUUAUUGUUUCAGUCCGCCCCUGAACCCCACCACCUAACAACCCCACCACCUAACAACCCCACCACCUAACAACCCCACCACCUAACAACGCCACCCACCUAACAUCCCC